GUCAAAAGUGUGUUUUGUAAGAGCUGGCUGGGCUCCUGUUUCCACGUUACGAACCCAAAGCAGUUAGCUGCCUUUUUUGGGGGCCUCUGCUUUUCCAAAUCAGUGUGCAACUUUGUCUUGUCCUUUAUAUAAAGGCUGCAGGAGUUGGGAGGACACAAUCCAGGUAUGUUUUCACGAGGAACCUCUUGGUGGAGGUGAGUUUCUCCCAGCAGGCUGGGCAUGGUGUGACAGCUUGGACAACGUGACCAUGGUGGUAAGGAAAAAAACCUGUGUUGGGGGAUGGGACCAACUCACUAAGAGGCUCCUGGUGCUUACAAGAUAGGAGCAAGCAGGGACACGUUGGCUCUAGCUGUCUCUCCCUUUGUCUCUGUACAAAUCUCAGUUUCUCCAACCCUCCUGAUGCUUGCAGCAAGGAGUUUGUUUUCUUUUCCCCUGAAGUGUCUGAACAGCUGAGGCUGAAAAUCCUGUUCUUGCCUCUGCCUCCCCCCUGUUCCCUCAGCUGCUCCCCAUCAGACUUGUGCCCAGACCCUGCACAGCUUUGUUGUCCUCUGGCCAUGGCCCAGUGCCUCAAUGUCUGUCUUGUAGUGAAAAGUACCUCCAGCAUCCAGAAGUUUGAGCACUGAAAAGCAUCCUCUGGGGUGUUUGAAACCUUACCUUAGUGCUGGAGAUGGGGUGCAAUUGUCCAAAUAGUCAUGUCUUCAAGUUACGUUUCACAUCAUGCAGCUGGGGCUGGUGUGAAGCUGGCUUUGUGAACCUCAUGGUAGAAAUGGGCACGUUGGGGUGGUAGCCUGCCUCCAUUAGCCUGAGGAGGUGGAGAGGGGAUGGAGAGCAUGCUUUGCUUCGUCAGCGUGUUAGCCAUCCCUCUGCUUGUGGGCUGUCACAUCUGGGGCAUGGAGGGGGCAAACAUCAAGAGUGGCCCUCAGGGGAAAUGAGACACCUGUGGCGUUCAGUUGCUGGCCAUUGCCUGGCUGUUUUCUCUUUCACGCAUUUCUGCCUGUCAAGCCCAGAAAAUGGUAUUUAAUUUGCAGAUAGACUGCACAGAUGGAAUAAAUAUAUGCAUACCUGUGCCUUUGGUUAGGUUUAGGUAUUUGUUGGGGCGGGGGGCAAAAAUGCUUCUUGGCUGAGGGUCUUGCAUUUUAUGCAAAGGAGGAAUUUAGCUUCAUAGCUGCCUAUUAGAGUUGUAGCAGCAGUCUUGUUAAACCUGCUCGUGUCCUGGAUGAUCUGUUGCAAUCCAAGUGUUUCUCAGCCCGAAAGAGGACACUGAGAUCUGGGCUAUGGGAACUGGAGCACGGCACUGUGUGUUACCCAUAGGUGGAGGAGCUGGAAGGUGCCUGCCCUGGCACCUCUGCCAUCGGCCAGCAUUGACAAACUGAUAUCCUGUGUGGGAGGACGCUAAGAUCCUUCCGGAAAGAAAUGCUCCCAGAUAUUCUUAUUGACAGAGGUGCAAAUGGAAAUAGGGAUUAUGGACUACCUGUUCAAUCUGUAACCAGCAGGUUCAACAGCUGAAAGAAAUCAAUCAGGAAGUCAGUGGGUGCUUCAUGGUAUUUUAGCACUACGCAUCCAAUACUUCUAACCGUGCCCUUUCAGGACUUGCGCUCCAGAAAAUCCCAUACCAACAUUGCAGUCUGGUGUUCCAAAUUGCAGAGCUGUUAAUAACUUGCUGAAGAUUAGGACAAGGACUUCAAAUGUGCAGAGCUGCGCUCAGGACCUGGUUUUGCAUGUUUGGUUUUUACUGCUCCUGCAAGAAGCAGAACACAGUUAUUGCCUUGAGUGCUACUACUCAUUAAUCCAAGCUCUGUGGAGUAGUUUCUUUUGUUAUAAAUCAGUCAUUAAGGUAAUCUUGUGUAGCUCACUGUUAUAAAAUAUCAGGAUAUAUGAUUUUACUAUACAUUAAUAGAGUACAACUUUCUUCGGCACUGCUAUUUCUGAACACCCCACAGCUAGCAACAGUCAGAUUCAUAUAAUUUUUCCCACUUUGUAGGGUUUUUUUUAAGUCCAGUUCUUGUACAGCUUCUUUUCCCUGGUUAUUGAGUUAUUAAGGUCCUAUCGCUUCUGGGGACAGGGUUCAGAAAGUCUUUGGGGAGAACAGGUUUGCAUCCUGAACUUGGAAGCAAGUACUACAGGCCCCAGUUUGCAAACAAGGAACCACAAUGCUAAUUAUUUUCGUUGCUUAUUUAACUCUUGAUGGGUGCCAUGAGCCAAUUAAAAUCACCACUGUUACUUAGAGGUGGCGUGAAACCUAAAUGAGGAAGCAGGAGAGGUAAGUGACAGUGCCUUGUGUAGGAGGUUCUGCUGUUGUGGUGGGCAAGAAAGUCAAGUCAACAAGUCAAGCAAGUCAACUUGGGAGUUCGCUUCUGAGUACCUUCCAGUACUUAAAGGGAGUGUAUAAACAGGAGGGGGAAUGGUUGUUUACGAGGAUGGAUAGUUAUAGAACAAGGGGGAAUGGUUUUAAACUGAAACAGGGGAGGUUUAGGUUGGAUAUUAGGAGGAAGUCGUUCACACGAAGUGAUGAUGCACUGGAACAGGUUGCCCAAGGAGGUUGUGGAUGCCCCAUCCCCGGAGGCAUUCAAGGCCGGGCUGGAUGUAGCUCUGGGCAGCCUGAUGUGGUGGCUGGUGACCCUGCACAUAUCAGGGGGGUUGAAACUAGAUGAUCAUUGUGGUCCUUUUCAACCCAGGCCGUUCUGUUAUCCUAUAUUUCUGUUCAAAAAAUGAAAAGGAGGAGAGAUGAUCACAGGCCUCCAGCAGUGGAGAUUGAAGAUGCUAAAUACUGUAAAACUAUGUUAUAACUCUUACAGCUCAUUUGUAAUGAUAUUGGAUGCGUGAAGCAAGCCAUGAAGAGCAUCCACGCAUGCGGGACAAAACGCACUUGAAAAACUACAGUUUGGGGUUUAAAAAAAAAAUUAAUGUCUUUCAAAUGGGUCUUGAGAAAAUUUUCUUUAACUGUGGGGAAUUGGCAUAAUGAUGUAAAGUCAGCCUGGAAAGCUGCACAGUGCUUGUGGGUCCGAACGUGAAAUUAGAAGUAACAUAUAUGCUGAGCUAUGAGACAGAUAUUGCCUUAAUGAAAGGCAUAGCAGUGACACUGCGUGAACUUAAUGUUUAGCCAGUGACGUCUGCACUUCACAAGAGCCCAUGGGAGGCAAUUAGGAGGGCUGCAGAAGGAGGGAAUAAUUUUACCUGUCAGCUUUGUAAGUGGGCAGCUUUUUGUGUGUGUGCGCAUAUGUGCGUGUAUUUGUAUGCGUAUGAAAUACCCAGAAAGUAAUGAGAUGGAGAGGCUCAGUGGGGACUGUCAAGGCUGUGGUUGGAGGUGGGGAAGCAGCUAUUUCCAAACCCACAAGAUUUAUUUGUGGAACUGGUGGAGAGGUGGGGGGUGAAGGUAGCAGACUUUAGCCUUCAGGGCUUUCAUCUGCUUUAAAUUCAGGUUGUUGGUGUUUUUUUUUUUUUAAUGGUUAUUUGUGAGAGUGAGCAGGUAGGUUACCACACAUGUCUUACAGAUGACUUCAUUACGUUUGUAUUUCAAAUUUGUUCUCUGGUUGUUAUUUCUUUCCAGGUUUUUCAGAACGUGACUGAGGAGCAGUAGGUGGAGGAGGCUCCGAACUCACAGCGUGCAGCUCGUGGGUCUCAGGUUAAUUUAGGUCAGCUGAGAUGCAGUGCUGGACAAAGAAUGCUGUUGUUCUGUCCAGAGUUAACCCAGCAAACGGGAGCUUUCUCUUCACGAGAUCAUUAAGGUUGGAUGGAUCUCUAAGAUCACCUGGUCCAACCGUCAACCCAUCACCGCCGUUUUUGGAGUGAAGAUUAAAUGGUGCCAGCAGCUGUGUGCAAGUUGUCCUUCAUCCAGGAACAUGCAAACACCAGAACUGCAGUGCAAAAUACUCCUGAAGUUCAGCAAGGUUUGGCUGAAGUCUGAUGUAGACCUUGUGGUCACCCUUGUCUUCAGCUACUACUGAGCCCCUGGUCCUUCACCUCCAUUGGUUUUGGGAGAUAUGGAUCUGCGCUACUUCUCCUCCAGGGCAGGUGAAGGCAAUGAGGGAGAGCAAGAGAAUACUGAAAUGCCGACUCCUAAACAAACAUCUCCAGACCUUGGCUCUGGUGCUCUGAGGCAGAGAUGGAUCGAGUUGUGGCAGCUUCUGUCACCCAUCAAGGUAUCUGCUCUGCCAGAAGUCAUUGGCCUGUAUGUGUGGGCAAAGUGAAUACACAGCAGAACAGCUGGGAACCCGUCUUCAAGCAGUGCUUUGAGCUAAAACACUUGUGUGACUCAGAGGCGGUUUUUUUUGGUGGGAUAUGAAUGAACCAGAGCUCAAAAUCUUGGCUUGAAUUGAGGGCAGAGGUAGAAGAUGCCUCAUUUAGCCUGAGGAAUGCUUUUGACAGACACGUUGCUGCCACAUGGCUUGGCUGGGAAAAGAAGUUGUACCUCUCUAGAGAGUGGAAAGAUUGCACCAAAAUCCUGCUGUAGGAACACCAGGUUGUCUCUUGACUGCUUGUAGUCCAGCAAGGAGGAAGAAACUGAUAGCUCAUCCAAACUUGCUAAUGGAAAAAAUCACACUUAAAUCUAUUUCGUGGUCUUGUGUGAGUCACAGCAGUGCUUGGUGCUUAUCCUUGAGUGGAAAGGUUCUGGUGGGGAGGAGCUGCGGUGUUAUUUUUCCAAAGGGCUGAUUAUUUAGCUCUGCCCAAUUUGGGAAGUGGGGCUAUCACCGUCUUGCUGUUAUCACCCUUUCAGCAAGGCAGAUAGCAGCCAGCGCAUUACUCACCAUUACCCCAUAGCUAUCUGUUUUUUGAUUAUGUGUUACAAGAAGUGGCAGCCGAAGCCGUGAAGCCUCUUCAGCACUGGCUGAAGCCACCUCCUCCGGGCUGUGAUGCUCUUGUCCUCGUCACCUGCCCUGGAGGCUGUGAGCCUUGGUGACUCUGCUCUGUUGGCACUCAAUUAGCCACUUCUCCCGGGGAUUAACGGGUGGGGAGGAUAUAAGCUGUGCUGCAGAUAAGUUCUCUGACUUGCCAAAACUGCAGUAAUGAGGGAGCUUCCUUAUAGUUAGGAAAAAAAGCUCCUCUCAACCUGUUGCUAUUAUCUUCCUGACAGCUGGCUCUGAGGCACCACGAAGGUAUUUAACCUCUUACUGCCACUCUGCAGCUCUGCAUAGGGUUUCAGUGGCUACACAGGGAAUUCUUAGCUCUGUUUUGCAGGUGUAAAAUGGAGCCAUUCAGGACAGAGAAGCCACCAACAUCUUGCUGCAAAUCCAUGAUGCAGCGGGGAGUGCAGACCAGCUUGCCUUGCACUCUGGGUUUGCUCCACUGUGUGUUCACACGUGCUAGAGUUGUGGGUCUGCAUAAGCAGCUAACGUUCCUGCUUUUGGAAGCAUUUGCUCUUUUGGUGCUGGAUUGAACCUCAGAUCUUGCUCUUAACUUGUUCUUUCGGGGUUAAAAUGGAAGCUUCUGGAAGAUAGGCUGGGAGCUUUCUCUACAGUUCUGCAGAAUGCACACAACUCCUAGCAGAGAUUUGAAACAAGAAGUGCAACUUUCAUUCAGGAGCUUGUAUGAAGUGAUCAGGACUGCAGAAUUCCUGCCCAGGAUGAAUGUGUCUGCGUGGUGCUUGGAAGGCAGUAAACAAUCCGCAAGGAAUUAACAGACAAAAGUCCCUGGCUUUGCUCCACCCUAUUGAAGGCAAUGGCAGAACUCCCAUUUACUUCAGUGGAAGUAACAAGUAGCGCCUGUGAGUGUGAAUGAUGAAUCAUUUUUAUGAUCAGGGUAUCUCUGUAAGUGUUGGUCUUUGUCCUUUAUCUGACUGAGGUCAUAAUUGAAUCAUGAGCAUCUUCUCAGGUGAAAUACAAAAGCAAACCGGGAGGAGGUGGCUUGUCCCCAGUAAGGAAUGCUGCAUGCAUGGUGCUCAGGGUUAGGAGUUUGCAGAAGCAUUUUUCUUCAUCUGUUCUGGUGCAGCCAGGGAUGUUAUUGUUGUAAGUAAUAGGGUGAUAUAACUAACUCAGAGGUGUAGUUCUUAUUUGGUUCUGUCAAUGGGCUCUAAAUGACCUCAUGAAGGAAGCUGUCUUGAGUUUUAGAUGGGAACCUGAGGCUCUACUGCGUGGCCAGAUACAUAAGGCUAGGGUUCAGCCUUCUCCUAAGUCCUAUCCAGCAUCUUAUCCCCUGCCUUUUAAAAGCUUUAUCCCUAAAAUGUGUCUUGAGCAAAGGACGCUGUAUUGUAGUUUUCCUAUUGAUUCCUUUCCUGGAGUUUAUGCCUUUUGAAGGAGAUGGGGCAUUGCUAAUUGCUUCAGCUGUUCUUGACUGUUACAGGGCACUUGAGCAGAACUGUGCAGCCUGAGCGUUUGUACUUGGUAAAAUAACCCCUCAGCCCCACAGAAUGGAAGGAUUAACAAGUUUAGCCUCCUUGAUUCAUUUUUGAAUUAUUCUCUACACCACCUUCGUCAGUGGCGCAGCAUAGCUGAAAGUAAGGCAGGGCUGCCACUGGAUUAGCUAAAGAUGAGUGCCACAGAAAUAAAGUGCUAUUGUCGCUCUUCAAGCAGUGACACUGACCGAAAUAAAGGACAUCUGGGUAGGAAAUAGCUGCCUGCUAUCCAUGGUGUACCCCAGCUUGCCAUGAAUGCUGGCUGUGCUAGGCAACCAGCAAAGGGAGCUGCAGGCAGCUGUAAGCCAGGCCAAAAAGAGGGAGAAAGAAAAGACCAACCCUGAGAAAGAGGGGUGCGUUCUUCCUUGCCGUGAUCUGGGCUGGAAGUCCUUUUAUUCUCAUCUUCUGUUGCGUUUUCCCCCUUCCUUUUUGUGCCCCAGCAGUGGGUCUGGGUGCAGGGCAGCAUUGGAUGGUCACGUCCCACCCCUCCUGUGAGUCGCGGGGGUUGUGGUUUGGGGAUCCCAUACAGCUGUGUGAGUGGGGUUAGGUUGCAAUGCUGUCUGUGAUCCAUGAAGGGAGGUGACACCCAUGGCUCCCUGAAGGACGUGGGUCUGACUCUGGGUGUUGCUGGAGCUCUAGCUUCACCUAUGGGUAAGCAGCCAGCCACAGCGUACAAGCCUUUUUGAGGCAGCUGGUGGCAGGUAUGCACUAUUCAGUGUUUUCAGUUUCCAACCAAUUUUUCCAGUCCGAUGCUCUGAAGAAGGCAGCAGUGGGCAGAAGGAUGCCUAAGAGCUUGCCCAAGGUUGGAGGAGAAGCCUGUGGCAGAGGGGAGUGGAUGGGCAGUGUGACUGCAGCAGUGGCCCCGAGGCUGUGACAGAGUGGGACUGGGAAGAGAGAGCAGGGCAGAAACCCCCUUUGGUGAUGAUCUCACCUCUCAAUUGUAUUUUGCUGUUCCUUUUGUCUUUGUGCUCCCUGUGCUCCCUGAAGAGCUGCUGCCCUGUUAGAAAGGCUUUGCCUCACCGCUUCCUUUAUCGUAACUGCAAGCAAUCAGUUCUCAAAAAAACAUAUAAACUCUUGAUUUGAAUAAUCAUUGUUCCUCUCAGACGCCUCCUGUCUUUAAGCACCGGAGCAGUGCUAUCCCACGAAGAUUGGGGUGCUGGCAGCACCCCAGGGCCCUCCUGCCCUUUGGCACGGAUUGGGGCUGAAUGUGGGAAGGGCUGCCAGCAGGGCCAGCUGUAGCUAAAGAAGCAGCCUCCAGAGGGAGAGAAGACUUUCUCUCUCUCUCUCAGGCUUUUCAACCAACGCUCAAAGUGAAAUGCGUUUAGAGAAGAAAAGGCUGGGCUUUCUGGCAGUACAAGACUCAGCCCUGCAAAUCUGCUCGGUAGCUUUGCUGCCUUUGAUGCUUCUCUUUAGUUUGAUCUUUCCCUUUGCUCCUGCUGGUGACUAUAGAGCUGAGACUGGGAUAAGGGAUCUCACCUAAAUGGAUGCAGGUCUGAGUAUCUUUUUUGGUCUGAGAUGCAUCAUCCCCACAUGUGAUAGGACAAACAUGCAACAGAAAACAAAUGGAAAACUCCUUAUCUCCAACAAGGAGCUGGCUCGUUAAAGGCAGCGAGAGGUUUGCAGCACCAGCCCUAGCAACAGCUCUGAAAGUUAUCCCAAACAUGUAAAUGAAGCCGAGCUCCAGCGAUGGGAGGCCAAGCCACCAUGAACCCGCUGCAUCACGCUAUUAAUACAAAGAGGGGCCUCAAUUAAUUAAACUCUUACAGGGUGACGCAAAAGCAUCAGAAGAAAUUUGCGGCGCACGUAAAGACAAAGCGUGUUGCACCAUACCUAAUUGCCAGAAUAAUUAUUUUCUGCUAUGCAAAUUAUCGUGAGCAAAUUCACUGCAGCUCAUUUGUGUGUAUUUAAUUAUCAUCAAGAGCUGGGGUUGAGGGACUAGAUUUAAUGUUUGUAAUGAAAUAGCAAGAAUUGGUGUGUGUGUGUGUGUGUGUGUGUGUGUUUGCAGAGAACUCGUUAUUUUACCACAGCUGGAUUUGUUUAUUUUAAAUAAAUCAUUAUGGCAGAUUCAGUUUUGCAUGUUUGCUCAUUUGCCGAUUUAUCAUAAAAACUGUGGUUUCAGUUAUAUGGGUGGUUUCUAUCAAACACAUAUGAUCCCUCUUGCUUGCAAGCGCCAUGUUUCUGUUUUAAGGAGGAGCUCAGCUCACAGAGAAGAUGAGUUUGCAUGCAAAUCAAGAGUGGAGAAGCGGGGGGAAUUGGGACAGCCAUCGUUGAGAAGAAAGCCUGGAUGUGGGUGUAGGUUUUGUGCUGGACUUCGGGUCUUUGUGUUUUAAUUCCAGCCUCACCCAGUUGUACACCAAUGUGCCUCUUGGUUUAUGUUUUUGUGUUGGCAUGUGUAAUGAUCCUAUGAUCAUAACAAAAAGCAGUAGAAGUGGAUGUGGAAUGCAAGGUACCACUUCUGACAUUUAUGUGGGUCUUUCGUAUUAAGAUGCAGGUUUCCUGGAGUAGUGCUGAACUGAAGAUACUGAGAUAUCAAUUACACCCUCAAGUUACAAGAAAAUAUUAAAUCUGGGAAGAAAAUGACACGUAAAAAGCAGAAUUUUCAUGCGUCCCUUGGUUUAGGAGCAGUUACAUGGAUGCAGUUGGCUUCCACCUGAUGUCCAACCAUCUCAUGUGGUCACCGCUCCAAAAAGAAGCAGAGAAGUUCCCAAACUGCCUGGAUCACAGCAUGCUCCAGAGAUGCCAGGUAAAAACAUAGAUGUAAUGCAACUAGCAAUACCAGCUGUAACCACAAAACAGCAAAUAGAAGCUCUUGGUUUCCUCCUGUAGAUUCGAACAGGAGAUGUAAGCGUAACAAAGAAGGGGUGAGGAAGGGACACAAAGGUAUCAGUGGGGACAGGCCAGCUUCUGGUGACAUCACCUGAGCCCCAGGGGUGCCCACAGAACCAUUAUCUGCUGUGUCUCUGUGCUGGUUUGCGUAUAAUUGAUGGUUCCUCCGAGGUUCUGCCUCCCCCUUCUCGGCGGGAUGCCCUCCUCUAUGUUAGUUUAUUUUUUAAAUAAUUAACAGACUUUGUGACUGCUUGUCUAUGCGUCCCCUUGGAAUUCCUCUCCAGCUGCUCUCAUCCAUCCCCACAGCUCCUCCCUCUCCUCUGCAGUGCUCUUUUCCUCUCGCUGCAUCUUAAAGCAUUGCCUUUUGUUUUGACUUCGCUGUGCAACACAAUCUCUGGGCACUUCUUUUUGAGCAGGAUUCCCUACUGCUGUUUGCUGGUGGCUGUAAUCCUCUUCUUCCUAGCAGCUGCCACUCCUAGCAAAGAUUUUGGUCUGAAUAAUUCUUGUGGGUGGGUGUAUCAUGUUAGAGACUUCAGUUGUUACUGAUGAUGAGGACAAGAGCCUGCUCCUACUCUCCCUAUGAAUCCACCUUGCUAUGGUAUGAGCAAUAGAGAAGCGUUAGCACUUCUUUGUCCAUUGGGAAAAUCAACUAUGGGAGGUGCUGCCUUCCCUUCUGCUGCCAUGUUGGCUCUUUCCCAGAGUCAAGUCCUACUAGCAGUAGAACUGCUGGAGGCAGUUGCUCCGUGUUUUGUGCUCUGUAUAAAUGCUCAGUUGGAAAUGGUAAUUUGUCUAAAAUCUUUGGGUCCUGCAGAAAUGCUGGUUCCCUGGCCUAGAUUUGGGGGUGAGAAAUGCUAGGACUGUGCUUGUUUGGUUGAAUGGGGCCCUGGGCAACCUCAUCUCGUGUCCAUCUUAGGGGUUGGCAACCCUGCCCUUGUGGCAGGGGUGUUGGAACUGGAUUAUCUGAGCCUCAUUGAGACUAUUUCACCUGGACCUCCCCUCAUGGUUAAUGAAAGACUUAAUCUGUUUGUUUUUCUUCCACCUCAUUUGAGGACCGUCUAUUCAUUUUAAAGACUUCAUAUAUGACCUUGCUUCCCAUCUUUACUUGCCUUGGCUUGCUGCUCUUCAGACUCAAGUCUUAAUUGACACACAGCUUGUGGCAUAGCUCGAGGCAAUGCCAAUAAUGCACAUAUUCAUGGCAUGGCAGGCCCCCUCCCUCGGCCACCAUCACUCAAAGCAUACAUCAGACAAGCUGCUGGCUUUGAUGUUGGCUUUUGGGUUUCCUCAAAAGAGGAAUACUGAGAAUCCCAUUGGCACUGUUCCGUGUGCCAGACAUCACAGCAAUAUCAUAAAAUCAUAGAAUGGCUUAGGUUGGAGGAGGACUUUAAAGAUCAUCGAGUUUCAACCUGCCUGCCAUGGGCAGGGUUGCCAACCACUAGAUAAGGGUAGAAAUGGCCCAGCACCCAUUGGGGGGAAUAUUUUGCAGUUCCUCAGCAGAUAGGGCUCUGUUGGAAUAAUCAAGAGCACUGUGGGCUUUGCGGUGAUGGGUGCUAUGGAAAUAAUAAUGAUUAGGGCUGGGGAUAGUGAUGGGGGCCAUCUGAGGCACCUGUCAGAGGAUGUUAGCCCUGCAAUUAGGAGGAGGGAAGGGACGGCGCAGCAAGAGUGAUGCUGUGGCAGGAAGGGCUUUUGUGUCAGCACGCAAAGCUUUUAUUCUCUGCAGGGCUGCUGGGAUUUGCUCUGGUCUCCUCCCAGACAAAUUAACCGAGAACAACACCUGCUCCUUUAAUAUUGACCAGGCUAAUGAUAGGCUAACUGCUGCAGACCUGCACUUUCCUUCUCUUUUCAAUGACGCGUAUGCAGGCUGUGAGCUCCCUUCUCUUUCCCUCUUGCCCCCAAGCCCACUUUUUCCCAUGGUGGAUGAGAUCCUCACCCCAAAACCACCACUGUAAAUCAGAAGAGUUGAAAGAUUUAGAACACCCCCCCCCUAAAAAACCACCAAAACACAAAACACCAAAAAAAAAAAAAAACCCUCAUUAAAAAGCCCCAAGCUGGCAAGAGGUGAAGGAUAUGUAAUUGCUAUUCCUUCUGCAGCCUGCUAAAGCUGCAUGUUUUAACCAUCUGAGGACAGCAGGGAAUUUUCCCUUCCAAGAGAGUCAAAUGUGGGGUUUUCAUUUUAUUUCUUUUCAGGAGGGGUGUGGGGAGAAAGAAGUGGACUUGGUUUUCAUUGGGAUUAGCUAAAGCUCCUUUCACUUUCAUGUUGGCAACAUGAGGUUUCAUCAGACCUCUGAUCCUGCACUGAAUAAAAAUAUAGCAUUACCGUCAAACUGUAAAACGGAGGGCUUGAACUUAACUGGAUUAAAGUGCUUUCGAGACAGCAUUCUUUGUUUAAUGGAGCGAUGGUGUUGGGCUGCCGUGCCCGAGCAUCCUGCAUCCCUGCUGGAGCAUCCAGGGGGUCCUGUUCUCUGUUGCUGGCUGGGCAGCCUCCUGCUGAAUUUUCUUAUGGAAUAUUCGUCUUGAUGCUCCAGUGCUCCCUCGCUGCAAUUCUGUGCAUUUCUUCCUGACGAGGCACUGCUGACAACGGGCUCGCUAAUCAGUAGGGUGCACCUCAUCUUCAUGGAGAUGUAUGCACGUGCUUUAAUUGCAAAUAAAUGCACUGAGCCGUAUUUGCGUAUCGUUUAGAGGUUGCCUUUCCCAUAUGAAUAAACACAUCCUUGGCUGCUUGUCCUCAUCCUCCGUGCACGCUGGUAGUGCUUUCACAGCCUGUUUGCCACCGUUGGCUCUUUGCUCGCUGCUUGGAUGCUUUUCUUGCCAGAUUUUGCAAGGUUCCCCCCUUCCCAGGGAGGAGGUGUGUUCUGCCUGGCAUCUGCUGAUGGCCCGAUGUAGUGAAGGUUUGAUGCUACGUUUUACAAUGGAGCCCAAGACCUGGGAGAACCCGUUUGUGCCACGUUGUGUGCUGUGCCUCCCGUCUCGGUGAGCGCUUGGAUGUAUCCCCAUACGUCCAGUAAUGAGCAUGGGCUAAUUGCCUAGGCAGAUAGGAAAAAUAGAUAGGUAAUUUGUAGCUAUUUAAUUUUACAUUAGGCAGAGGGAUGUUAGGGGCAGAGGCUAAUGUUGUUGGCAUUUCUUUUCAGGGUUGUUAACCAGAUAUGCUGCCUCUGGGGCAUAACAAUACCUCCCUCGGUAGUGCUCUCUAAUACUUUUAUUACGUUCUUAUUAAUUUAGCAAUGGCCUAAAGUCUGUGAGGCACCUUCCAAGGCAUGAUCCCUGCCCUGAGGACCUUACGGACUAAUUCCAAGGCAUGAUACAACUGGGGAUUACUCAGUGAGGGCAAGGGCCUAAUGGAGUAUGAAAUGGCUUCUAUUAGAUAAAUGGAUAAGAGUGAAUCAGUGGAAGAGUUAAUCACAUGGCUCCGUGUAGGCACGUGGGGUAAGUAUCACCUUGGGGCAGCAGUGUGGCUGAGGUCACUCCAAGCAGGGAACGUGGAUGGAGGUUGUCCCUCACCUCCCACCUUGUUGGACCAAAGGCAGAGCAUCGGGGGAAUAUUUCAGAGCGAAAUCCUGAAAUGGUGCCUUUCUGCCUUGGGUUUCAGCUCUCUGCAAGCCACAAAGUGAAGGUCCCAAACAGAGGAGAGGCCCGGAGGGGAGCGGGGGCUGCAUGAGGGCAUUGCUCAGGGGUGGCCUCAGCACCUGUCCUCCUCAUUUGAAGCCUGGAAGCUGCCCAGCGUGGGACAGAUGGGGCUGCUGGGCAGCGACAGCUGGGGGGGCAGAGGGCAGGAGGGAUGAAAGCGAGCUGGGCAGCCCUCCCCUCGCUGCCGGGGAACAUUUGGUGUCCAUGUGGCAUCUGGCAGCAGUGCUCGCUUCUCUGGCAUUUCCUCUGGUGAAAGGAAGAGCAGAGCAAUUUGGUCCCAGGAGGCUGCUUUGCUCAGCUACAAGGCAGCAGCCGCCUCCUGCCCCGGCUCUUUGGCUUGGUGCUGCAGCACAGACCCCAAACCACCCUCAAACCAGGAACCCCCACCCAGGUACAUGUCCUCUGCCCUAACUUAUUUCCUUUAUUAUUUGGUUUUUUUUUUCCAAACUGCCAAGAAACAAACAGUUGCAUCGCUUACUUUAACAACGAGUUGCUCCAGCAACUGGACAUCGGGUUUAGUGUGGCUGGCUGCAUCUUCUUGACAUCAUUGUUUGAUUUUUCAGUUGCUGGAGCAACAGAUUGCUAGGAAGGACCAGUGAGGUCGAGAUUUCUCUUUCUUUCUUCCUCCACGUUGCUUUUCUUUAGGCCCAGAGCAUCAGAGUCAGUUUGCCUUUCACUGAAGACACACACUGUUAACAUAUGAUGGGAAGAUGUCAGGCAGUAUUAGAAGAAAUGGAGGUUAGGUCAAAGGCUCGUUACAAUGGGAGAAUUCCUGCAGAACUGGAAAAAGAAAAAAAAGAGAGAAUGAAUGAGCCAUUGUAUUUCCCCAGAUCAGAGGGUGGGGGGAGAUGUGGCUCCAGCACACUGAGUGUCAGCCAUUUGCCAUGUGGCAUUUUUCUAUUGGUGGCUCUGAACCCAAAGCAUUUCCAAACCAGAGAUGCAGCUGGGAUGUAAAAUGCCAUCAGGUAUUACUCUUUAAGGCGGUGCCAUAAUGCAACUCCUUGAUUUCUUCUUAAUACGACUUUAUGCCUAUGUUGUCCUUCUGAAAUUUUAUCAUUCUUAACUCUGUUUUCCCAGGAGGGGGAAUACAAGAAGAAAUUAAAAGUUAACUUUGACAACAAAAUGAGAGAAAUAAUUAAAAAAGAGGGAAAAAAAGAGAGAGGAAAAAAACCCUUGAUGUCAAGAUAAUGGAAACUGUCAUUAAAAGUUGCUUAAAAAUGUGAGCUUUUCUUGUUCUGAGAAUUGCUCCUAAUGUAUCUGACUGCCCAGCUCAUUCCACGCUUCUGUAAUAUAUAUAUUGUAAGUGCAGCGUUUUUCACAAUGAAGUUAUGGUUUCAGUGUUACACCCUCACUGCCCACAAAAUACACAGACUUCAAAUUAACAAAUACACAUGCCUCAGAGUCUACACAAUGUCAGCCACAAAUAUGCAUGCAGGAAUGCUGGUUGCUAGAGUUUGGAGUCAGCUAUUAGCGAACAUUUGUAUGGUGUUGAGAUAAUUUGUUCGUAAAUGCCACACACGUACCACAUGGUUCAGAUGUGGUUUGGGGAGCCAUAAAAUGGGAUUUCCAACUGGUUCUGUCCCUACUCUUAAACCCGUAGUUCAAUUAGGGCUCAGAUGAGUCUCAGCCGUAGGGCUGCUGUCCUGGCUAUGGGAUAUUGCAACUCGCUGGGUUUUGUGGAGGCUGAAAGGCACGGAUGCAGCUGCUUGUUAGUGAAUAUGUGCACGUGCCAGUCUGCAGUGAGAUGUACUUGAAAUAACCUAUCCUAUAUGCUUCUGUGAAGAUGAUGGCCCCGAUGAUUUAGCUAUUUCAGUUCCAACUUGAAUUAUUCAUGUAUUUGAAAACACUCAUGAAUUAUUUGUGUUUUCACUAAAUAUAUAAUUUAAGACCCCAAAUCCUUCCAAUGGAAUAUACAAAUGAGAUUUAGCUACUUCUGUUGCUCGGAGCUGCUGCCCCUCGCUGUAGGCUCAUGGGUGUGCCAUGGCACAAGGAGGUCUAUACCUGCUCUGUGCCAGCCCCUGAUUCAGCAAGAAAGAAGCUCUAACUCAGCUCGUUUGCUUCUCAGGGCUGACGUUUUGAGAACGGUGACUCGGUUAUGCACAAAUGGAUUUAGGAUUUGGAGCCUGCUUUUUGUGGCCUCCAUUCCAAGAGGUGUUGCAUCUGGAUAUAAGGUGCCUGGCCGCAGGUGGUCCCUGCAGUGCAGGCACGAACUCACAGGCUGGCUCCAAUGCAUCCAAUCACUUUGGAGAUGUAACUUUAUCCUGGCAGUCCCUGGGCUGAGUCCAGUCCUGUCCGUCAUCCCCAGGCUGACAUAAUGUGGGCAACCAGCUUACAACUGGAGCACAUCACAUCACAUGCUCGUGUUAAUUCAGCAAAAAUGUGUUUGUGCUCGAUCCAGAUCAAAUCUGUCCUGCCAUGAAAUCUGGGAGUACAGAUGUGGUAUUAAUAGACGUGGAGGCACAGCCUCAGCCUCCUCCCCUCCCCAAACAUCUGCAGCUGAGGGGGCUGCUGCUGAGGGGAGGCAUCCUGUAGGGACAGCCGUUCUGCUCUCGUUUAACUGCCUGAGCUCCCCAGCACUUGCAUUAAUUUUGAAGAAAGUACUUUGGCAUAACUGACAGAAAAUCUGGUCCCUGCACCUCAAGGGAUUAGUUCCUUCCAGGGGAAGUUUGAGUAGUUGCACUCUAAUAAAGCACCUUAACGUAGGAUGUCGUUUGUCUCUUUUUUUUCCUUUCUUUUUUUUUCCUCUCUUAUCUCCCUCAUUGCAGCAGAACUCUUUUGUAUUAUACAUUUGAUUAUUAUUUGCAUGUAGUACACUGUAGAUGAUAUAUAGAAGUAUGUCUAUCUAUAUGUAGAUGUUUAUGUAAAAUUUACUCGUAGUUUUCCAUCAGGUUCCCUGUUUGUUUUCGUGGAAUCAUAGACUCAGUAAGGCUGGAGAAGGCCUUGAAGAUCACCCAGUCCAACCCCAGCCCACCCCCACUGUGCCCACUGCCCACGUCCCUCAGUGCCACAUCCCCAUCCUUCUUGAACACCUCCAUGGACGGUGACCCCACCGCCUCCGUGGGCAGCUUGUCUCAAUGUCUCGCCUCUUGUACUGCCUGGAAAUCUUUCUCUUCCAUGCCUUUUGACCCAAGAGCUGAGAUCCCCCUCUCUCUACGAGCUGAUUAACGCACUUGCAUGUCAUCUAAGGCACUGAGUGCUUACGCUCAUUGCUUGGUGCGUUGUGUGCGUGUGAGUGUGUGCGCCCGCGCUCAACAAAAGCCUUUUCUCUCUUCAUCUCUGUACUCUGGGACCGAGGCCAAGUUGUGAUUGUAAUAAUGUAAUCUCUUCUGAAUACUUGAAGUGAUGUGGAAAAAAAAAAAAAAAGAGAGAGAGAGAUUUUGAAAAUGAAAUAGAUUAAUCUAUAGAGCUGGAAGGGGAAAAUCAUGCAUUUUAAUUAGCUCCCGAAAGCAAUUUUCCUUAAAGUAGUACAUCCAGGUGUGCAGAAGUAUUCUCCUGCCUUGAGAGUCUCGCUUGUCUUUCUGGGGUCCUUGGAAAAGAAGGUGACAAGUGACAGGUUCGCUCGAGAUGCUUACAUCGAAGGGAUUGAACAUAGGGCAGCUCAAUGGGCCCUGAAUAUUCUCAGGCUGCAGUGGGCCUGGAGAAGCGUUUGAUUCCUUGAUAGAUGUUUAUGGACUGGUUGUACGCGUCUGAGCUGUCACAACACAGAUCUCCCAUUUGGGAAUGCUGGAGGCUCUUCAGCCUCUUCCAGCCCGCAUCUGCAGAGAACGCAGGAUUUCAUUCACCUCGCUCUGGAUUUUAUGCCCCAGUUAGGCAGACUGAAAUUUCUUAAACUUCUUUUUCAAUCGGUCACUUUGGCACCAUUAUGGCUUGGGCCGUUCUUUUCUGAAGUCUGUUUUAAUUCUUUACCUUUGUAUUCUAGCGGCGAGUUGCCUUGAAUUUACAGUUCCUGUUGAAUUCCUCUAAGAAUAGCACCUAGGUUUCCUACACUGCAGCUGCAAACAAGGUUUAAAAGCUUUGGGGAUUUCUUGGCAGCUAAUAACUCCCAGACUUCAGCAUAGUUCAUUUUCGAAAUGUUUCUCAUGCUUCAAUCUGGACAGCAUUAUGCAGGUCAGGGAAUCCUGUCAGACUGGGGGCCAGGGGAGGAUGUUCCAUCAAAAGCUCUUUUGGCAAUCUUAUUUUUUAUUUUUUAUUUUUUAAGAAAAGGUCCAAAAGGACCUUUAGGAAUACUGCUUAAUAUCCUUUCCAUCCAAAAUAGGAAAAGCACCUGUAACUGAUGCCAAGCACAGGACAAAAUAAAUAAAAAAAUCCCCAAGUAAAGACCUCCAACUGGAAAUAUUUCCUGAAUGAUCUCACUGAGAAUCCCGUAAGUGGUUGGAUCAGCUUUAGGGCGAGGGGAGUACAGGCUUGAACUCCUUACUGAAAGACAAGAAAAAGCUUCAGAAAAAAAAACAAAACAAAGAGCCAAACCCAGAUGCAAGCUGUUAGAACUGCUGGGAUUUUUUUUUUUUCAUUCCUGGUUGAGCCCUUUUGAUAUUUGCAUGGAAAAUGUCACAGGGAUACAGCAAGACUUGAGAUGAACCAACAGGGCCAAAAAGUGUCAUAAAGCGAUGUUUGUAGCUUUCAUCCCGUGCCCAUCCUGCUGUAGAGAUAGAGCUGAGCAGGAGCAGAGCCCAUAGGGUAAAUCUGGUGCUUAUGGACUGGGUGUCAGUAGCAGCGGUGGGGUGGCAGGCCUUGUUUCAUGUCAUUCUGGCCAUAGGAGUUCAUCCAGCUGUGCUGUGCAGUAAGCGUGCAUGUGUUUGGUGUGCUGUCCCACAGAGACAGGAGCCUUGUAGGCUUCUACCAUCAGGGAUGUCAGGCUCCCCUUCAUUACUGACUUGCACUGUUCAUAAGAACAACCUUCAAGGUUUUAGCCUCAUCAGACCCAUCACCAAGCCAGGGCUUAUCUUAAUUGUCUUUGCCUUCACCUGACCUACAGUCAGAUACUGUCUCUGCUUUUUAAUGGUGCAUCAGCAAUUGGUAUUUAUUUUAGAUUUAAUCAGACAGCACAUGUCACUAAUAUCUCAAUAAUUGUGAUCUUGCUGUCAAAAAGGAAGGAGAUGGAAUUUCAGAAGGUCACAUCAAAACUCUGAAUCUGAUCUCAGUAUAACGUGAUUCCCAGGCAGGACUGAUUGUAAUAACAAGGGACAGGUAUACAGAGGUUCAGGGCCACAGUCCAGAGAAAAAUGCACAGAUUUUUCUGUAGGCUUGGGCCAAACUGAGCCACUAGGAGACACAUGUGAGUGACAUCUUUGCUUAGAAAAAGCACCUGUUCAGAGCUGGAUCUGCAUUGUCCAGAAUUUCAAUCAUCUGUGCUCUACUUCUCUUCCAACCCUCUGAAUUUUAUCCGUUCAUAGAGGUUAAGCUGGAAGUAUCUUAAGGAGCGGAAUCCAUCAGCCCUGGCUUCCCGCUGCACUGGAAAUACUGCAAGGCAUUUUUCCUGAUGCAUUUCUUUCUGAGGCUCAGAAAUGUAAAACAACGGAACCACUCAGGUCAGAUGUUUCCAACCUGUGAAUUGCAGAUGAGUUUUAGUGGCCUCCCUCUGUUUUAACAGCCAGGAAAGAGAGUCCAGAAGUCUCUCUUUUCCAUUGCAGCAUGGGAUCAUGAGAUAUAAAAGACUGAGACCUGCCAAAAUAAAUCCUCACUGAAAGCGUGCUUGGAGUUUUAGAAAUAACAUGCAGAACUUAUCUGAGUUGAAUUCGUUUGCUUAAGCACAGCGUUAAUUUGGCUGAAGGUGAUCUCUCGUAGAAUCAUUAAAGUUGGAAAAGACCUCUAAGAUCAUCAGGUCCAACUGCCAACCCAUCACCACCGUGCCCGCUCAUAGGAUCAUUAAGGUUGGAAAGACCUCUAAGAUCAAGUCUAACUGCCAGCCCACCACCAGCAUACCCACUCAUAGAACCGUAGAACCAUUGAAUCAGAGUCUCCUCUCAGAUGCACUACGGGCUGCACGUUGUAAUACUGGGACUGAACAGGGAUACUGGGGCUCAGGGAUCCUCCACACCUCCAUCUGAACACCUUCAACUUGCCAACCUGAUGCGUUCCAUCAGAGCGGGCUGUUCUCUCGCAAUGUCACAGCAGAAUGCAAAGUAUGAAUCUGUGGCUGCAAGUGUAUUCAGAAAAGAAAGUAAUGCAUAUGCCAUAUGGUAGAGAUUGAUGUCUGGUAAUAGAUGCUUCAUAUAUUCCAAGAACAUCAUUUUCUCCAAAUGAAAAUUCAUACUCUUUAACUCUUUUUUAGCUUACAGCUUUCUAAGCCAAGGUCUUGGCUUGUUCUGCUUUUCACAUGGUGGUUGUGCCUUCCUGGAGAUUUCAUUGCAUCAGUACUGAGUGCUGUGCCUUUACUCCCCAGUGCUCUCCACGGUCCCAGCUUCACUUUGCCCUCAUCCCAGUGCCCUGGCAGGGAGGGCUGCACGGUGCUGACAGGUUUUAAUAGGAUGCAGAAGGGGUUGCUUUCAACAGGGGGUCAGCUUAUCUCUUUAUUUACUGUCUGGGAAAUACUGUCGGGUUCUGAGAGAUGAAGGGCCUGCACAAGGAAAAAAACUAAAUAGUUUACAAGGCAGAAUCUCGUUUUCAGGAGAGAAGUGAUCCUUCAGCACUUGUUAAGAGCGGUGUUGAUAAGUUUCCAUUGGAUAACUGAAACCUGGCUCAGUUCUUCAAACGCAAUGCCUCGCUCUCUAUGAGUGUCCUCAGUAAAAAUAACCUCUAAAUGCUUUUUAUUUAUCAGCCUUCAUCAACAAAUAUGGAAAUGGAGCCCAGCUAUGCUUUUCUCCCUGAGAUGUCUCUUUUUCUUCCUCGCUGCGUGCCACUCUGACCAACCUGGUAAAUUUAAGUAGGUGUGUGUGGAAGCUUUGAAAAGAUGCGUGGCCAAAUUCAGGAGCAUUUUAAAGCACAGGAGCUUAACACUUCAACGUGGUCCCUUCUGGCUCCAACAAAAUUCACAGGUUCUAGCGUGAGCUGCAGGGAUGUGUGGUGGGGUUAUGUUUGCUUUGGAGUGGAGCCCACAGCCAACCCACAGGGAUCACAUCCCAUUGUGUGAGUGCCUUAUGCAGACAUAAUGGAAAGGUGUAUCUACACCCCAAAAUGCAAAAUGCAUUUGUAGUGAGUCACUUUUGAGAGGUAACAGCGUUACCUACCUUAGUGAAAGAGGUGGGAAUUGGUCUUGAGACUUGUUUGCAGGGCAAAUCUCGUUGAGGUUGCCCAAGCAGGUCUGCUUUCAGCUCAUUGCCAGCUGCAAGUGAGUCUGGUGAGGGAGCAAAGAACCGAAAACAAAGAAACAAGAACACUUUUAAUCCAUUACUUCCUUCCAGCAUGACAGCAGUGGGGAUAUCAGAAUCGUGCUGCGUGUACUUUCUUCACCUGCUUGCACAACAGAAGGUAGGGAAGGAGAAAUGCCUUCUCCUUGCUUCUGUGCACACUGAAACCUCGGGAUCAGUAGAUGUAUUUUUGGAUGCAUUCCUUCUGUCAUUUGUGGCGUGCAAUGAGGAAACUCAAUUAAAUGUCAGGAGGGUGAAUGAGCUGAACAUACAGCAGGAGCCUAACAAAUCAGGAAAGGAAAUGCAUUCCCUGUUUGUAUCGGUCAUGGGACAGUGAGUGGAAUUGAUCCAAGUUAAAGUCUUUUAACUCCAGUGAGAGAAAGCAUCAUGUUGUUCAGACCACCAUCAGAUAGGGCGACAAGUUAUAUCUGAUGAAGACCGGGGGGCACAUCAUCGUUCAAAACAAGGGACUGAAAACAGAGCAGAGAAUUGCAGCCAACGUGCUGGGAAGCACUCCAAGAAGACAGCAAAGCUGCUUCUCUGUAUGGAUGAGAUGUUAACUGGACAGUGGAGUGAAGAAACACCAUCAGAGACAGCAAGACCUUCAUUUGCAGAGCGGGACCUUAUUCAGUGUUGUCUUCUUCCUCCUGGACAAGUGCAUGCCUCUGCUGGCUGAUGCCAAGAGAAGGUGCAGAAGAUGUCUUGGAACUUUGUGAUGGCCCUGAAGACUGUAGAUCUCUUUAUGAUACACAAAUCGUGCAUAGCAAGAGCUCAACGAUUUAAGUCUUCUUUUCUACCAGUUAACUCGACUCUGCCUGCAGCAGAGAGAAUAGUCCAGAGCCAAUUCCAGGGAUGUUCUGCUGGAACAGUGUUGGGGAUGCACAGUCAUAGCUUUUUUCCCAGACGAGAGGGAAAGAGGAAUUUAAGGAGGCUGCCAGUAGGAAGGAGAAAACCUGCCCCUCUUUUUUACUUGAUUUGCACACAUGCAGCCCACUGUAAUCCUUGCUGUUGGUGCUGGCUUGUCAAUUUCAAUAUGGUGAAAAAUGGCCUAGAAAUAAGCAUGGGCUCUUGUUAAUGGAAGAAUGAUUUGUAUAACUGGUAGUAAUAAAUAGGUAGAUAAAUCUCCAGCAAACAUAAGGGCACUUUUUAGCUGCCUGAGGAAGAUGCAGGUAAUUCAAACAAUUUUCUUGCCUGCGUGAAGGGAGGCAGCUGCUGGGAAACACCCACUCCUCAACACAUUCAUUGGCUUUUGGCCCACUUGGCGUGACUGCUGCCAUCACUCUUCACAUUUCUCCAUUGGCUUAACCUGUCAGUCCUGUUGGUGCUGGCAGAUUGCAUUUUCAUCUCAUUCUUCUCAGCCCAUGGGCCUGGGUAGCGAUGAGUAUCUGUCUCAUGAUGGCACAAAGAAGAGGAGCUUCCAGAUGUGCAGAGAGGAGAGGACAUCCGCUCUCAGCCGUGCAGUCUGUCAUUGGCCAGCUGUGUGGCACCAGGCAAUCCUAAAGUGGCUCAAAAUGGAGAGGGUGGAGGGGUUGCUGAGGUUUUUAUGGCCCCAUUUCACAAAAGCAGAAGGGUCCUGGGGAGAAGGCUGGGUGAGAGAACCUGCCAGAUGUGAGGAGAUGCUGAGCCAGAGGAAAACAUCCAAAGAGUGAAUCAGAUUUUCUAAGAGAAGCUGCGCGGAGCUAUUUUUCAGUGCAGUGUUUCAAUGCAGUGCAAUGUUUUCAUGUGCUCCUCCAGGCUGCUUUCUCCUCAGUGUUGUUCACCAUAAGAAAUGUUUUCAAUCUGGUGACACUUCUCCACCCUCAGCCCCCAGGAAAUGCGCAUAGCAAGCAAGAAUAUAUGGGCUUUUUUUGGGGGGGAGGGGAGGUUUCGUUAUUUAAAGAAAGAAUUGUUUCAAUUCCGGACAAUCUGUGAUCCAACUGUAAAGGUACCCCAAGGUUUCGCUCUAUGAGCAAUAGAGACUGACUACCUAAAAUCCAAACAGAUAUGCCCCCGAAGCCCCUAACUGAGUAAACAUCUUUCCCACACGCAGGAUCACCCAGGGUCAGAUCGUCUCCCGGUGUAAACUGGCAGAAAUCCAUUGAGUAAUCCCAUAAAUCAAUCUAAUUAAAAGUGUCUUCUGAUGUCUUUGUUUAGUAAUAAUGUUCGUUUAAGAAGGUGUUAUGGUCGGAAAACCAGUUCCUUCUUUGCAUCGCUGACACCUCUCCAGUCCCUUGGCUUACUUUUAAUGUUUUUAAAACACAGUUAGCUUUUAACACAGCAACAACGAAUGCGCUGUUCGUGGAGAACCUUUUGUAAUGCCAACACAUUUGCUCAGAGGACGCUUAUCUGGGCUUGUGUGCUGGGGAGGGAGGGGAAAAAAGAGUUGGUGCAAUUUGCUGGUAUAAACUGUCCGUGUAAGUAAUGAAGAUGUGCUCACUUGAUAAAAUAAGACCACCCUCCCUGAGAAGCUGUACCUGAAGCAUUAAAGAAAAAGAAUCCCAACCUUCUGAAAUUAUGUGAUUUAUUUAAGAACUAUUUUCCUAAGCUCUCCUACAAAUCUGACUACUCCGCUGGGACAAACCCAUUAGGCCUAAUUCAGCCAAACACUCCAGAGCUUAAAUUCACCACCAAAUCACUUAACCACAAGCUUAAUUUAAGCACGAGUUUAAGCCCCAGGCAUUCAAACCAUUCCUAUGUGAUUUAUUCCUGGCCCUUUGGAAAGCAGGAGGAAUGCAACAGGGCCAACCCACAACCGAUAAGGAUGGAAGACUGAAGUGACACACAGAGGUGUCUGGAAAUCUUUGCUUGACUCUGAACUUGCGUAUUGGCUGCAGACUGUUCUCUUGCUUUUCUCAUGGGCUCGAACCAACCCAUGAGCUCGGAAGCCCACAGCGAUCUUCCCCAGCUCCUGAAGAUGACAACGCGGAGCACAGAGGCUUCAGAACUGCUUUGGGAAGAAAAUGGGAUAGAUCGCUUGGCCAACCUCCCUCACCAGAACACCCCACAGGGUACAGCACUGCAACGAAAAGCAUCGCCCAGCGGUCUGAAGCAUGGAAAAAGCCCUUACCCCUGGCAACCGAAGAAGAAAACUUGGCGAAAAACACGUGCAUGCCCUCUGACUUGGAGGCUACAGAUACGAUGUGCUAACAGCGUAAGGGUGUUCUUGAGAACACAGGGGGCUUUUGCCCUCCUCUUGCGAAUGACCUCCAGCUCUGCCACGCGACACAUUCCUAAGCGCUACAUCCUCCCCGUCUUCACUUUUGCACUGAAUACAAAUGCGCACUUUCUUCAUGCGUGAGAAAGAGGGUUGUGUCAUUGCUGCUACCGCCAGACCAUCCACCAUCCACUCAAACCACAUUUUCUUUAUUAAAGCCAUUUUUCUCUGAAGUUUCCCCAUCGUACGCAGGCUGUGUUGAGACCUCCUCACCUCCCGAGAUAUUUAUAGGCUUUAGUGGAGAACUGUAUGGCCCUUUGAGGGCCAGGAUUUAAGUUUUAGCCUGCAUCGAGCAUAAAUACACUGGGGGUGAACGAAUAUUUCUUACUUAAAAGCCUUAUUUAAUUUGAUCCAAAGCACCUUAUUUUUCAGAGUUAAACAUUACUGUUGGAAGUAAUUUUAAAUCUGCACAACAGUGAAUCCUAAGAAUGGUUCUGAAUUGGCUUUACAAAUGCAUAUGGUUCUUUCUGAGAUUGAAAGAGGAGGAAGAAGAAAGGGAGGAAGAAAGGGAGACCGCAGGAACUGAAAUAAAAACAGACAAUCCCUUCGUCACCUAAAUAAAACCCGCUAAGCGUUGAAAUGGGGUCGAAAGAUAUUUGUUAAGACUGUGAAGUAUAAAGGCAGCAAUUAUUUCUUUGGAAAGUGUCUCUUUAAGGACUUAAGUGAAAGCCUGGAGGAGGCUGCCUCCAGCCAGCAGGAAUUGCCCCUGGCUUUACCAGGAGUGAGAGGAAGAAAGGAAGCAAUUACCCAGUGAACAAUGGUGCAUUAAGGAGCUGCAUUGUGUUUUCAAAACCAGGAUCUCUCCAGCUGGGUGAGAGGAGGGGAUGGCCUCCUGGGGAGGCAGUCAGUGGGGCCGGGACAGCCAGGCAGGUGCAGGAGAUGGAGGGAGGGAAGCGCCGUGGGACCUCUGAGGAUUGCCUCUUCCCUUCAGGACCACGGGACUGAAAGAAGUCCUCCCGUGGAUCCAGUUUUGGCAAGCCCUUUGUCAUCCCUCUUCCCCUUUGAUGCCUCGCCACACCCGCCGGCUGCCCCAGCUGCUCUCCAUAGCCAAAAACCGUCCAGGAGCUUCUUGACAAGAGCUCCUUGUACCCUGAUCCCUCCUCAGUUUCCCCUACAAUGAAUAGAGACACCUACAGCCGAUCGGGUGCUCAGAGCCCCGUCCAGCCUGACCUGGAGUGUCUGCAGGGAUGGGGCACCCACCACCUCUCUGUGCAACCUGUGCCAGUGCCUCACUGCCCUUAUUGCAAUAAACCUCCUCCUUA